AAGACCCAUAUGGGGCGCUGAUAUGGCUGAGAUGCGCGAAGACGCGCAGACCCUUGAACUUGAUCCGGGUAAUGCCGGCGUAAGGAAGGAGAAUAUAAUAUGU
rfam:Lachnospiraceae bacterium 5_1_57FAA genomic scaffold supercont1.24, whole genome shotgun sequence.